rnacentral:rRNA from 1 species
AAGGAAUAUUGGACAAUGGACGGAAGUCUGAUCCAGCCAUGCCGCGUGCAGGAUGAAGGCGCUCAGCGUUGUAAACUGCUUUUGGAUGGGAAUAAUAAUGUCGACUUGUCGGCACUUGAAGGUACCAUCAGAAUAAGCACCGGCUAACUCCGUGCCAGCAGCCGCGGUAAUACGGAGGGUGCAAGCGUUAUCCGGAAUCACUGGGUUUAAAGGGUGCGUAGGCGGCGCGAUAAGUCAGUUGUGAAAUACCCCGGCUUAACCGGCGGGAGUGCGAUUGAUACUGUUGUGCUUGAAUGAGGUUGAGGUAAGCGGAAUGUGGCAUGUAGCGGUGAAAUGCUUAGAUAUGCCAUAGAACACCAAUUGCGAAGGCAGCUUGCUGGGCCUUAAUUGACGCUGAGGCACGAAAGCGUGGGGAGCAAAC